UUUCCGUAGGUGAGCCUGCGGAAGGAUCAUAAUUGUAUAACCGAGGUGCGAGGGCUGUCGCUGACCCGAAAGGUCGUGCACGCCCGAGUGCCCUCACACACAUCCAUCUCACCCCUAUGUGCACCACCGCGUGGGUCCCCCUUUGGCUUGUUCGGAGGGGGGCUUACGUUUUCACACAAACUUUGUAUGCAGUGUAGAAUGUAUUUUUUGUUUUUGCGAUCACGCAAUCAAUACAACUUUCAACAACGGAUCUCUUGGCUCUC
rnacentral:misc_RNA from 1 species